AGCGAACGCUGGCGGCAGGCCUAACACAUGCAAGUCGAGCGCCCCGCAAGGGGAGCGGCAGACGGGUGAGUAACGCGUGGGAACGUGCCCUUCAGUCCGGAAUAACCCAGGGAAACUUGGGCUAAUACCGGAUACGUCCGAGAGGAGAAAGAUUUAUCGCUGAAGGAUCGGCCCGCGUAAGAUUAGCUAGUUGGUGAGGUAACGGCUCACCAAGGCUAUGAUCUUUAGCUGUUCNGAGAGGAAGAUCAGCCACACUGGGACUGAGACACGGCCCAGACUCCUACGGGAGGCAGCAGUGGGGAAUAUUGGACAAUGGGCGCAAGCCUGAUCCAGCCAUGCCGCGUGAGUGAUGAAGGCUUAGGGUUGUAAGCUCUUUACAGGAAGAUAAUGACGGUACCUGGAGAAUAAGCCCCGCUAACUUCGUGCCAGCCGCCGCAGUAAG
rnacentral:rRNA from 1 species